rnacentral:rRNA from 1 species
CACGCUGGCGGCAGGCUUACACAUGCAAGUCGAGCGGGCGUAGCAAUACGUCAGCGGCAGACGGGUGAGUAACGCGUGGGAACGUACCUUUUGGUUCGGAACAACACAGGGAAACUUGUGCUAAUACCGGAUAAGCCCUUACGGGGAAAGAUUUAUCGCCGAAAGAUCGGCCCGCGUCUGAUUAGCUAGUUGGUGAGGUAACGGCUCACCAAGGCGACGAUCAGUAGCUGGUCUGAGAGGAUGAUCAGCCACAUUGGGACUGAGACACGGCCCAAACUCCUACGGGAGGCAGCAGUGGGGAAUAUUGGACAAUGGGCGCAAGCCUGAUCCAGCCAUGCCGCGUGAGUGAUGAAGGCCCUAGGGUUGUAAAGCUCUUUUGUGCGGGAAGAUAAUGACGGUACCGCAAGAAUAAGCCCCGGCUAACUUCGUGCCAGCAGCCGCGGUAAUACGAAGGGGGCUAGCGUUGCUCGGAAUCACUGGGCGUAAAGGGUGCGUAGGCGGGUCUUUAAGUCAGGGGUGAAAUCCUGGAGCUCAACUCCAGAACUGCCUUUUGAUACUGAAGAUCUUGAGUUCGGGAGAGGUGAGUGGAACUGC